GACGAACGCUGGCGGCGUGCUUAACACAUGCAAGUCGAACGGAAAGGCCCUGCUUUUGUGGGGUGCUCGAGUGGCGAACGGGUGAGUAACACGUGAGAAACCUGCCCUUGACUUUGGGAUAACUUCAGGAAACUGGGGCUAAUACCGGAUAGGAGCUCCUGCUGCAUGGUGGGGGUUGGAAAGUUUCGGCGGUUGGGGAUGGACUCGCGCCUUAUCAGCUUGUUGGUGGGGUAGUGGCUUACCAAGGCUUUGACGGGUAGCCGGCCUGAGAGGGUGACCGGCCACAUUGGGACUGAGAUACGGCCCAGACUCCUACGGGAGGCAGCAGUGGGGAAUAUUGCACAAUGGGCGGAAGCCUGAUGCAGCAACGCCGCGUGCGGGAUGACGGCCUUCGGGUUGUAAACCGCUUUCGCCUGUGACGAAGCGUGAGUGACGGUAAUGGGUAAAGAAGCACCGGCUAACUACGUG
rnacentral:rRNA from 1 species